AUGGAGAGGAGCCUGGGAGCUAUUCUGGGGCUGCUGUGGGUGCAGGUUUGCUGCGUGAGAGGGAUGCAGGUGGAACAGAGUCCUCCAGCCCUCAGUCUCCACGAGGGAGCCGGCUCUUCUCUGAGAUGCGAUUUUUCUACAACCAUGACAACUGUGCAGUGGUUUCGGCAGAAUCCCGGCGGCAGCCUCCUCAGGCUGUUCUUCAUGGCUUCAGGAACAAAGGAGAAUGAGAACGGGAGAUUCAAGUCAACAUUUGACUCCAAGGAGCGCUACAGCACCCUGCACAUCAGAGAUGCCCAGCUGGACGACUCAGGCACUUACCUCUGUGCUGCUGAUGCACAGUGCUCCCAGCAAGCCUGA